CCGAAAGGCGUAGGCGAUGGAAAACAGGUUAAUAUUCCUGUACUUCCAGUUAUUGCGAUGGAGGGACGGAGAAGGCUAGGCCAGCUUGGCGUUGGUUGUCCAAGUUUAAGGUGGUAGGCUGAGAUCUUAGGCAAAUCCGGGAUCUUAAGGCCGAGAGCUGAUGACGAGUGCUCAUUAGAGCGCGAAGUGGUUGAUGCCAUGCUUCCAAGAAAAGCUCCUAAGCUUCAGAUAACUGGGAACCGUACCCCAAACCGACUCUGG
rnacentral:rRNA from 1 species